rnacentral:rRNA from 1 species
UGCCAGCAGCCGCGGUAAUACAGAGGUCUCAAGCGUUGUUCGGAAUCACUGGGCGUAAAGGGUGCGUAGGCGGCUUGGUAAGUCAGAUGUGAAAGGCGGGGGCUCAACCUCCGGACUGCAUCCGAUACUGCCAAGCUAGAGUACUGGAGAGGUGUCUAGAAUUCUCGGUGUAGCAGUGAAAUGCGUAGAUAUCGAGAGGAAUACCAAUGGCGAAGGCAGGACACUGGACAGUUWCUGACGCUSAGGCACGAAGGCUAGGGUAGCGAACGGGAUUAGAUACCCUGGUAGUCC